rnacentral:tRNA from 1 species
GGGCUUGUGGUGUAGUGGCCUAACACGCCUCCCUGUCACGGAGGAGAUCGCCGGUUCAAAUCCGGUCAGGCCCGCCA